rnacentral:rRNA from 1 species
UACGUAGGGGACAAGCGUUGUCCGGAAUCAUUGGGCGUAAAGAGCGUGUAGGCGGCCAGAAAAGUCCGCUGUGAAAACUCGAGGCACAACUUCGAGCUGUCGGUGGAAACUUUCUGGCUAGAGUCCGGAAGAGGAGAAUGGAAUUCCUGGUGUAGCAGUGAAAUGCGCAGAUAUCAGGAGGAACACCGAUGGCGAAGGCAGGUCUCUGGGCCACUACUGACGCUGAGAAGCGAAAGCGUGGGGAGCGAACAGG